CAGAGUGAGCUUGUAGUCCCUCCAGAGUCUGGUACCUGAUGACCGGCUGCAGAAUGGACUCCAGGAGGAUUUGUGAAACACAGAUUUGUUUCUGCCUCGUCAUUCCUAUUAUCCAGCUGGCAGCUGAGAGUGGUCGGAGUGACGGCUCCGCCUACUUUGACAGAGCCAGGCAGAGGUCCUUCUCCUCCUGCUGCUCCUUCAGCAGGUUGGCCAGAUGUGCAUGUUACUCCUGGAGAUGCUGCUGCUCCUCCAUCACGAUGGCUUCAGCUGAGGUU